rnacentral:lncRNA from 10 species
UAUACAUCUAUUCUCCCAGCAGACACGCAGGCUGCUAAAGACAGGGAAACGCGGCCUAUGAACUACUUGGUGCCCAGCAAAUUGAUGUUCUCAAGGAUCUGCUCUGCUCAGCCCUUACUGUAGAUCAACAAUUUGCUCUUUUUCUCAUUUCAGGUCUUCCCUCCCCUCACAGCUGCUCCUAUCUCCUCAAGCCUCUUGGAACAUCAUACAGAGAAUCCUGCCUCCUGCUGCACAGAGUCCUUCAGCUCUGCUGGACAGGUAUGGGCAGGCCGAGCAGAGGGGAAGGAGACACAGUGCUGAAUCCCACGUGAAGCUGCCACAGCAGAGAUCUGGGAGAAGGCAGGGGGCACGCUCACCCAGGGACAGGAAAUGAAGAGGAGGGCAUGGCCCCCUGCCCUGCAGCCAUGGGAAGAAGAGGUGGCAGGGGAGACUUAGCAACAGGAACUACACGGAUGGCUCACUCGGGUUACAGCCAGGACUGCAAGUGGAAUGCCCCAGGAACACGGAUGUCCCCUUCUGCCUCAGCAUUUAGACUGCGACACAGGAUUCAGGAAUCAAACUUCAGCGUGAGGGGGUGUUUUCCUGCUGCAAAACGUGGAUGUUCUAGACACUCCCUCCUGGAGCUUGUGGCAGUUACUCCAGCUUCCUGCUCUUGGCGGAGAUGAGAGAGAACUCCUGUCCUCAUAUCAGAGAAAGGGAAGAAUCCCAGCUGUAUAACUUCUUCUCAUUCAAACCUCUAGGCCAGAAGUCUCUCUUAAAAUGAGCUCAGGAGGCCGAGCGCAGUGGCUCACGCCUGUAAUCCCAGCACUUUGGGAGGCCGAGGCGGGUGGAUCACGAGGUCAGGAGAUCAAGACCAUCAUGGCUAACACCGUGAAUCCCCAUCUCUACUAAAAAUACAAAAAAUUAGCCAGGCAUGGUGGCGGGCACCUGUAGUCCCAGCUACUCAGGAGGCUGAGGUAGGAGAAUGGAGUGAACCCGGGAGGCGGAGCUUGCAGUGAGCUGAGAUCGCGCCAUUGCACUCUAGCCUGGGUGACAGAGCAAGACUACAUCUCAAAAACCAAACCAAAACAAAACAAAAUACAAACAAACAAUGAGCUCAGGAAAAAGUAACAGUGUCAAAGGGAAACAGGGUCCCUCUUCUUUUUUUGUAUCAAUACAGGGAAUCUUACUGAAUCAAAUAUGUGGGUAACUAAAAAAACAGUGGAUGCCAUGAGUCUAAAAUUAUCCCCAAAUAAAACAAUUAAAUGUUAAAAAAUACAUAUUUCAAAAAUUGUUGUUAUUUUGAAAUGUGAAAGAGAGACACAUUCCCUAAGAUCUGUGACCUUUGAGGAAG